CGGUUGGUCGCGUAGAAUGG
rnacentral:sRNA from 1 species